GAUGAAGAACGUGGCGAAAUGCGAUAAGUAAUGUGAAUUGCAGAAUUCAGUGAAUCAUCGGAUCUUUGAACGCACAUUGCGCCCGCUAGUAUUCUGGCGGGCAUGCCUGUCCGAGCGUCAUUUCAACCCUCAAGCCCCCGGGCUUGGUGUUGGGGAUCGGCGAGCCUCCGCGCCCGCCGUCCCCUAAAUCUAGUGGCGGUCUCGCUGUAGCUUCCUCUGCGUAGUAGCACACCUCGCACUGGGAAACAGCGCGGCCACGCCGUUAAACCCCCAACUUCUGAACGUUUGACCUCGGAUCAGGUAGGAAUACCCGCUGAACUUAAGCAUAUCAAUAAGCGGAGGA
rnacentral:misc_RNA from 1 species